rnacentral:rRNA from 1 species
CAGCAGCCGCCGCGGGAAUACAGAGGGUGCGAGCGUUAAUCGGAUUUACUGGGCGUAAAGCGUGCGUAGGCGGCUUUUUAAGUCGGAUGUGAAAUCCCUGAGCUUAACUUAGGAAUUGCAUUCGAUACUGGGAAGCUAGAGUAUGGGAGAGGAUGGUAGAAUUCCAGGUGUAGCGGUGAAAUGCGUAGAGAUCUGGAGGAAUACCGAUGGCGAAGGCAGCCAUCUGGCCUAAUACUGACGCUGAGGUACGAAAGCAUGGGGAGCAAACAGGAUUAGAUACCCCGGUAGUCCCUGUCUCUUUACA